CUGGAAAAUGGAAAUGGGAGAAGGGAAGAUAAAACGAUGACUACUUAAUAGUUACCCACAGUCAGAAGGUUUUUUAUUGAAGGGUGUUUCAGCAACACAUACACCCCUAUACGGGCAAACUAUGAUCUGAGAUCACACUCCUCCAAAGCAACAGUUUUACAGUUCUCCAGGAUUCAGAUCUGGUCACCAGAUUUUUAGCAGCAUUUUAAAAUGGGAUUUAUCACCAAAGCCUUGUUUUGGAAAAGUUUAAGUACUCAGUCCUAGAAAGAUAUAUCCCAUAAGACAAGAUUUUAAGAAUAAAAUACUUUUAAGAAUAAAGCUGAAAAGCUGGACUUGUACAGAUGUUAAACAGCAACACAUAGCAGGAUACUCCAAAAAAUACUCAGAUUGCAAUAUUUUUCGACUUCUAAUUACAGUAAUGGGAAAGGUGUGGGGCAGGAGACAGGAAUGCUGCCCAAAGAUGAAGUAUAGAAAUAUCUAAGUCUAAUGAAAAGACGUCUUCCAUGCCCUCAAAAGAACAAAGAGUGGCCACACAGGCAGGCGCCUUCCAGUCUUACAGGUACAUGUGAAUAUAGGGCUCUUUCCUCAGCUCCAUAUGCAAUAGUCAGCUUAAACUCUAGCUCUGACUAAUCCUCUAGGAGUAGGUAGUAACAUUUUCCACUAGUCUCCUGAGG
rnacentral:lncRNA from 1 species